GACGAACGCUGGCGGCGUGCUUAACACAUGCAAGUCGAACGGAAAGGCCCUGCUUUUGUGGGGUGCUCGAGUGGCGAACGGUGAGUAACACGUGAGUAACCUGCCCUUGACUUUGGGAUAACCUCAGGAAACUGGGGCCAAUACCGGAUAGGAGCUCCUGCUGCAUGGUGGGGUUGGAAAGUUUCGGCGGUUGGGGAUGGACUCGCGGCUUAUCAGCUUGUUGGUGGGGUAGUGGCUUACCAAGGCUUUGACGGGUAGCCGGCCUGAGAGGGUGACCGGCCACAUUGGGACUGAGAUACGGCCCAGACUCCUACGGGAGGCAGCAGUGGGGAAUAUUGCACAAUGGGCGGAAGCCUGAUGCAGCAACGCCGCGUGCGGGAUGACGGCCUCGGUGUAACCGACUUCGCCUCGUGACG
rnacentral:rRNA from 1 species